GAUGAACGCUGGCGGCGUGCCUAAUACAUGCAAGUCGAGCGAACAGAUAAGGAGCUUGCUCCUAUGAAGUUAGCGGCGGACGGGUGAGUAACACGUGGGUAACCUACCUAUAAGACUGGGAUAACUUCGGGAAACCGGAGCUAAUACCGGAUAACAUUUAGAACCGCAUGGUUCUAAAGUGAAAGAUGGUUUUGCUAUCACUUAUAGAUGGACCUGCGCCGUAUUAGCUAGUUGGUAAGGUAACGGCUUACCAAGGCGACGAUACGUAGCCGACCUGAGAGGGUGAUCGGCCACACUGGAACUGAGACACGGUCCAGACUCCUACGGGAGGCAGCAGUAGGGAAUCUUCCGCAAUGGGCGAAAGCCUGACGGAGCAACGCCGCGUGAGUGAUGAAGGGUUUCGGCUCGUAAAACUCUGUUAUUAGGGAAGAACAAAUGUGUAAGUAACUGUGCGCAUCUUGACGGUACCUAAUCAGAAAGCCACGGCUAACUACGUGCCAGCAGCCGCAGUAA
rnacentral:rRNA from 1 species